rnacentral:rRNA from 1 species
UCAUGCGGGGAAUUGCCGUUACAACGGCGAGUGAAGCGGCAAAAGCUCAAAUUUGAAAUCUGGCACCUUCGGUGUCCGAGUUGUAAUUUGAAGAAGGUAACUUUGGAGUUGGCUCUUGUCUAUGUUCCUUGGAACAGGACGUCACAGAGGGUGAGAAUCCCGUGCGAUGAGAUGCCCAAUUCUAUGUAAAGUGCUUUCGAAGAGUCGAGUUGUUUGGGAAUGCAGCUCUAAGUGGGUGGUAAAUUCCAUCUAAAGCUAAAUAUUGGCGAGAGACCGAUAGCGAACAAGUACAGUGAUGGAAAGAUGAAAAGAACUUUGAAAAGAGAGUGAAAAAGUACGUGAAAUUGUUGAAAGGGAAGGGCUUGAGAUCAGACUUGGUAUUUUGCGAUCCUUUCCUUCUUGGUUGGGUUCCUCGCAGCUUACUGGGCCAGCAUCGGUUUGGAUGGUAGGAUAAUGACUAAGGAAUGUGGCUCUACUUCGGUGGAGUGUUAUAGCCUUGGUUGAUACUGCCUGUCUAGACCGAGGACUGCGUCUUUUGACUAGGAUGUUGGCAUAAUGAUCUUAAGCCACCCGUCUGAAAAACCGGGGCCCAAAACAUGAUGUAUU